rnacentral:rRNA from 1 species
GUGCAGCAGGCGAGAAUUUUUCUCAAUGGGGGCAACCCUGAAGGAGCGACGCCGCGUGGAGGAUGAAGGCUUUCGGGUUGUAAACUCCUGUCAUUUGAGAACAAGUGGCCGAACCUAACUACUUCGGCCUUGAUAGUAUCAGAAGAGGAAGGGACGGCUAACUCUGUGCCAGCAGCCGCGGUAAUACAGAGGUCCCAAGCGUUGUUCGGAUUCAUUGGGCGUAAAGGGUGCGUAGGUGGCGCCGUCAGUGGGGUGUGAAAUUUCGGAGCUUAACUCCGAAACUGCAUUCCAUACUGCGGUGCUUGAGGACUGGAGAGGAGACUGGAAUUUACGGUGUAGCAGUGAAAUGCGUAGAGAUCGUAAGGAAGACCAGUGGCGAAGGCGGGUCUCUGGACAGUUCCUGACACUGAGGCACGAAGGCCAGGGGAGCAAACGGGAUUAGAUACCCCGGUAGU